AGGUUGGGUCAGGCCCAAAAGUGACCCGACCCGGAUCCAUCCAACAAAACAAAUAUCCAAUUACAAAUCAUUCUAGAAAGUAAGGUUAUUUCAUUGUUGCCUUUUCAUUUGCUCCAGUCUGCUGAGCUUCUUGCUUCUUCCCAAUCUUCUAAGCUUUUUGUCGCCGAUGAAUAUGUCCAUGUCAUUUUUAUGAUGGUCCGAUCUUCUUCAUCAUCGUCUCUGUCAUCCAAGCUAAGUCUCAAAACCUUAAUCUUACUCUCUUCAAACCCCUCGCAACCAAAAUCUCACUGGAUGCACGGUUUCCUACUCAAAAGAAAUCCUUUCCAACACUAGGUUGUUGAUGUUUAUCAUGGGGUAACGGUUCAUUCUCAUUCGCUAUGCUGCACUUUUCACUAUCAAAAAUCUCAUAAAUCAAAGGAGAUUAGGUCAAAAUUUUGCAACAAUCCGAUUAAGAUGACAGAAAUUAUGAAAAAAAAAGGUUGCAGAAAAAGCAUUCUCCAAAGAAAACAAAAAUUUUAAAAAGGGACAGAGAAGAAAAGAAAAGCUCAAGAAAUUGAAGUUUUGAGUAGUAAGGUUGAUGAGGAAGUGCAGAAUUCUUUUGCUGACGAUUCUCAAGAACAUAGUGAUGAAGAGACAUUUUUUGGGGCAAAAUUUCGUGUAAAUGUAUUUUUUAAGUAAAUGUAUUUUGCUAUAAGUUUAGAUGUUACUAAAGUUGCAAGUUAUAUGUAUUUUUUGAAAUACUGAAUAUGUAUUUUAUGUUUUUGAUGAUAUGUGGAGGGCAAAUUUAGUAGAAAAUAUAUUUGUGAAGAUGAUAGGAUAAUUGUGAAAAUAUACUAUUAAUAAAUAGGUUAAUACUCAUGAACA